AAGGAUCAUUAUGAAUUAGUAGCUUGCUACUAUGCUGGGGUAGACGGGAAAGUCCUGGCUGAAAAGUUAGUGUACCGGUACCUGUACCCCUAUCAUACCCUUGUCUUUUGAGUACUUAUGUUUCCUUGGUAGGCUUGCCUGCCAAAAGGACAAACUUGAAACCUGUUUAAAUAUCAAUCAGCGUCUGAAAUUAAAUUAAUAAAUUACAACUUUCAACAACGGAUCUCUUGGUUCUG
rnacentral:misc_RNA from 1 species